UCUGUUUUAAUUUUUUACUUACUGGAUCAACCUCAAAUUGGUUUAUUUUGUUCAUCUGAAGACAUUGAACAUUUUUAUUUUGUAUUUUUGUUGCUGUUCUUCAUCUUUAUCUUGAGUCACACCAUCAGGAAAAAUAAAUCAGAAUAACAACAGUUCUUUAUGUGGUUGUAUUCAAGUCCAACCAAGAAGAUUUAUCAAUAAAGACACAAGGAAGUAAAACUAUGGAUCCAACUAUGGACCUGAGAAACAACUGGAUGUCUAAACUGAAAGAAGAAUUUUCCAGAAGUUCAGUGGCAUCUACUUUAGGCUUUGUAUUGAUCCAGUUGGUGUUGGAGAAACUGGUGGAAACUGAGUUUUCAUGCCCUUGUGACUCUGAAUACAACUAUUUACAUACUUCAGUAUGUUUCAUUGUUCCACCAUUUAUAGUUUGUUCUCUAAUGUAUGUCUCUGCAUGUCACUAUAAACUCUUUGAUGCCUUGAAACUCGGCAUUAUUCCAGCUGGAGUAUGGUUGGUAAUAGUGUUCCUUGAUGGUCGUUAUUACGCCUGUGCAAUGACCGAUUGGUCAGGGAAGUAUGAAAUGAUUGUGAACGCUGAACCUCAGAAAUGGUGUCAACCAUUAAACCCCAACUCAUCUCAGGAGCUACUGGCCAAAACCCAGUUCCUGUAUUCUGAAUCGCAGUUCUUUGGAUUCCUGGCAGCGUUUUUGUUGACAUUUUUUUAUAUUUUAUGUUUGAUCAUCUCUUCCUUGUUCUCAUACUGCUGUGCAAACAUGGACAGAAUGACCAUAUUCCUUCUUUCCAUUUUUAUCAUUCCAUUGUCUACUUAUUGUUUAGUUCUAUGGAUUUUUGACUCUAUUUUGGUUGCCUGUUCAUGUGGUUUGGUUUGUCUGGCCCUGAUGUUCGCAGGUAAACUCACAGAGGACUGAGGAGUUUAAUAACUAACAGGAUGUACUCAGGGCCGGCCCAAGCCUCCAUGGGGCCCUGAGCGAAAUUUGGUUGAGGGGUCCUCUACUUCUGCUAACAAUGUGGAUGCUGGAAUCAACAGACGAUUAGAUCAUUCACACACCUGAUAUAAACUUAUUGCAUCUUUGAUGGCGCUGUUUGCAUUAUACCCUAUGCAUGUAUAGGAUACAUUUAUCAGCCAGUUGAUUUCUGGGUUAAUUUUGGGGGAUCGUGAUCGGAAGAUACUUACAUGUGAAGCCUAUCUUAUCCACUGAUCUUAUU